rnacentral:rRNA from 1 species
UGCCGCGUGGGUGAAGAAGGCCUUCGGGUUGUAAAGCCCUUUUGUUGGGAAAGAAAAGCAGUCGGUUAAUACCCGAUUGUUCUGACGGUACCCAAAGAAUAAGCACCGGCUAACUUCGUGCCAGCAGCCGCGGUAAUACGAAGGGUGCAAGCGUUACUCGGAAUUACUGGGCGUAAAGCGUGCGUAGGUGGUGGUUUAAGUCCGUUGUGAAAGCCCUGGGCUCAACCUGGGAAUUGCAGUGGAUACUGGGUCACUAGAGUGUGGUAGAGGGUAGCGGAAUUCCCGGUGUAGCAGUGAAAUGCGUAAAGAUCGGGAGGAACAUCUGUGGCGAAGGCGGCUACCUGGACCAACACUGACACUGAGGCACGAAAGCGUGGGGAGCAAACAGGAUUAAAUACCCUGGUAGUCCACGCCCUAAACGAUGCUAACUGGAUGUUGGGUGCAAUUUGGCACGCACUAUCGAAGCUAACGCGUUAAGUUCGCCGCCUGGGGAGUACGGUCGCAAGACUGAAACUCAAAGGAAUUGACGGGGGCCCGCACAAGCGGUGGAGUAUGUGGUUUAAUUCUAUGCAACGCGAAGAAUCUUACCUGGUCUUGACAUCCACGGAACUUUCUAGAGAU